rnacentral:rRNA from 1 species
AGAGUUUGAUCCUGGCUCAGAUUGAACGCUGGCGGCAGGCCUAACACAUGCAAGUCGAACGGUAACAGGAAGAAGCUUGCUUCUUUGCUGACGAGUGGCGGACGGGUGAGUAAUGUCUGGGAAACUGCCUGAUGGAGGGGGAUAACUACUGGAAACGGUAGCUAAUACCGCAUAACGUCGCAAGACCAAAGAGGGGGACCUUCGGGCCUCUUGCCAUCGGAUGUGCCCAGAUGGGAUUAGCUAGUAGGUGGGGUAAAGGCUCACCUAGGCGACGAUCCCUAGCUGGUCUGAGAGGAUGACCAGCCACACUGGAACUGAGACACGGUCCAGACUCCUACGGGAGGCAGCAGUGGGGAAUAUUGCACAAUGGGCGCAAGCCUGAUGCAGCCAUGCCGCGUGUAUGAAGAAGGCCUUCGGGUUGUAAAAUGCUUUCAGCGGGGAGGAAGGGAGUAAAGUUAAUACCUUUGCUCAUUGACGUUACCCGC